AGAACGAACGCUGGCGGCAUGCCUAACACAUGCAAGUCGAACGAGACCUUCGGGUCUAGUGGCGCACGGGUGCGUAACGCGUGGGAAUCUGCCCUUAGGUUCGGAAUAACAGUUAGAAAUGACUGCUAAUACCGGAUAAUGUCUUCGGACCAAAGAUUUAUUGCCUAGGAGAUGGGCCCGCGUACGAUUAGCUUGUUGGUGGGGUAACGCCUACAAGGCGACGAUCGGUAGCUGGUCUGAGAGGAUGAUCAGCCAGACUGGGACUGCGACACGGCCCAGACUCCUACGGGAGGCAGCAGUUAGGAAUUUGCGCAAUGGGCGAAGCCUGACGCAGCAACGCCGCGUGGGGGAUGAAGGCCUUCGGGUUCGUAAACCCGUUUUACCGAGGGAAGAAAAGUGGACGGUACCCGUGGGAACUAACGCCCCGGACUAACUACCGUGCCAGCACGCCGAC
rnacentral:rRNA from 1 species